UACGUAGGGGGCCAGCGUUGUCCGGACUUACUGGGCGUAAAGCGCGCGCAGGUGGACGCGUAUGUGCCGUGUGAAAGCGCCAUUCUUAACGUGGCGAGGUCAUGGUAGACAGCGUGUCUCGAGCCUCGGAGAGGCCAGUGGAAUUCCGGGUGGAGCGGUGAAAUGCGUAGAGAUCCGGAGGAACACCAGGGGCGAAAGCGGCUGGCUAGCCGAGUGCUGACACUGAGGCGCGACGGCGUGGGGAG
rnacentral:rRNA from 1 species